rnacentral:tRNA from 1 species
GCCCCAAUAGCUCAGAUGGAUAGAGCACAGGUUUCCUAAACCUGGUGUCGGAGGUUCGAAUCCCCCUUGGGGCGCCA